AAACAUAACCUUUAGCCACAAACAAGUAUUAAAGGCAACGCCUGCCCAGUGAACAAUUAAACGGCCGCGGUACCCUAACCGUGCAAAGGUAGCAUAAUCAUUUGUCUAUUAAUUGUAGACCAGCAUGAAAGGCAAAAUGAGGGCCUGACUGUCUCUUAUAGUAAAUCAAUUAAACUGAUCCCCUAGUAAAAAAGCUAGAAUACACCCAUAAGACCAGAAGACCCUGUGAAGCUUAAACUAAACUAUUAAACCCAAUAAUAACUACUUUUGGUUGGGGCGACCUUGGAAAAAAAAGAAACUUCCAAAUCAAAUACCACACAGGCCCACAAGCCAUAAACUGACCCAGCAUGACUGACAACUGAACCAAGUUACUCCAGGGAUAACAGCGCCAUCUUCUUCAAGAGCCCAUAUCAAAAAGAAGGUUUACGACCUCGAUGUUGGAUCAGGACAUCCCGAUGGCGCAACCGCUAUCAAAGGUUCGUUUGUUCAACGAUUAAUCAGUCCUACGUGAUCUGAGUUC
rnacentral:rRNA from 1 species